CAAUAACAACAAUAAAAACAAUAAAUUGUGUAUCUAUGUAUUUCAAAUUGCUCAAUCUUUCAGUAGAAAUGUAAAUGUUAUGUCCUUAAUGUUAGAUCUUAUUUUGAGAAGUGUGCUUAUAGUAGACGCUGGACAAAAGGAAAGUUAGUCAUGCAGAAGGUGUGUGGCUUUGAAUAAGAUUUGCUUGGUGUUGCCAAGACCUCCCGAAGAAACGACCCUCCUCCUUAUUGUGUGUGAAGUGUUCCUUUUGUGUGAAUUUACGGGGUGAGGCUUCAAUGAUCCCCCACAAAUUUGCAUUUAAAUAGCGACAUCAACCGAUUCGCGUGCCACACACCAGUGGGUUUCCCAGAUGUCAAGGCAAAGUCAGUCAGAUGGCCAUUGCCCAGCUGUCCUCUGCACAUCAUACCAGCGCAUAGAGCAAGCUUAAAUAUACACCGAUUUCCUAUGUGCAGCUCUUGUCGGCCAAAGCGGCAAGUCUGUAAUGUUAGAUGCGAGCCCAAGACGCGACCGCUGCUUACACAUAGGAAGAGAUGAGAAGCGCGUUGAGCCAACGUGCUACAGUGAUGGGAGCUCCAACAGUACGAUAACAGCAGAAUCGUUGUAACGUUGAUGGCGGAAAGUCUAUUCCACACAGCUGGAAGAAAGUUUUACAGUUCCUUGGAAAUUGAACUGAUUGAAAAGUGUCAUGCUGUCGCAUUAAAUAGACAUUAAUUCAUAGCAAGAUGCAUCCUCAUCUGUGACCAAGAGUCACAUUCAACACUGGUUAGUCCCAUCAGUCGAUAGAGGACUUAAUUCCAAUACAAUUUUAAACUGUUGGCCAUGUGCAGGUCAACAACGCUGAGUUUUCGCUUUUGAUAAUACUGGACACAUUUAGUAAAUUCUGUGGCUUUGUGCGUGUCCAGACGUGGACUGCUGUUUGCUGAACAUCAAAUAUUUGAAACAUUUAGCGUCAACAUAAACAUCUAAGCAUUAAUUUGUCACGUCAAACUAUUUAUCGAGAUACCUUGGUUUCUAAUUAAAUAAAUAUUUUUAGAUUACGUCUUUUUCUGUGACCUUCUCCUAAAGCCACUGGUUUAUAAAUACUGGAACUUGUCAUUAGGAUAUUUGCUAGGCGUAGUGUAGUGAGUGUGUUUCUGUUUCUGUGAGCGUGCGUGUGUGUGAAUGUGUUUGUGUUUGUGUGUGUGUGUGUGUGUGUUGGGGGGCCCACCACAAUGAACAUCAUCAGAUAUCAAAACUCACAUUGCACACUUGCGCCAAGCGAAUGGGACAGUGAAGUUAUUCCACGACAGAUAUGGUAUUUAUUGCGAGAAGUAUUUACUUCAUGAUUAACCCACUACUUCCAAAACAUGGCAAAUGUGAAAGUGGGCUAUUAUAUUCUUAAACAUUUUAGUGAUGACAAGUAGUCUCAAAAUCUAAAAAAAAAAAAACAUUUUUGUAGAUGACCGGUUCGGUUUUCCAAUGCAAUACAAUGGUAAUCAAGUUAGCAUGAUGCAUUUAAACAAAGUCUUUCUUUUGAAAUUAUAAUUCUAUACACAGUUUUUAAGUUUAUAUUAGCCUAUCCCUAAUAUACAUACAGCUAUGCAAAGGCAGGAGUUCCAUGGUAAGCCUAUGUCUUAAUUUAAAAUAAUUCAAGAAUGGGCAAAUUCUAAUAUACAAACAACAAAAGAGAGAGAAAGUACGCUGUUCAAAUGACUGAAAGUACAUGGAAGUACAAAUGACUUGGUUUCAAAGGCAGCACAAAGCCUGGUUCAUUCUCAACUUACGGUCAGAACAUUUUCUAACCGAAAUUUGAUAAAGAGCGCCUCCUUUUGGCAAAGUUGAUCAAUGUCCUGAAUCCGAGAUCUAUUUACUUGUCACUUCUGAAGCAUCAUCAUAUUCAAUGAAGUAUCGCUACCAUACUUUAUUUUAUUCGCUGGACUCUUCUCUUUUACGGAAACUGCUAUGUAGGACUAGAGAAUAGCCUAUAGACUGGGUCCAUAACCUAAGUGCUGGAUGAAAAAUAAGUGGUGUUGUCGUCAUAAGCGUAUUUCAGUGUAGAUAAAAACCUCGUUUUAUGAGUUUUUCCUCUUUCUGAUCCACUCUUCACAAGAUAAAAGAAAAUGUCAGCUAUGUAAAGCAUAUCUGAGAAGAUUUUAAAACACUUUGUCAUUUAUUGUUUGCAUGGCUGAGAAUGACUCACUUCGUUUUAUUUUUUAAGCAACACAUUUACAAACUGGACCCGCAGAAUGAUUUGCGCUGACACAUGUUGAUAAGGCGACAGAGAAAUAAUUCAUUCCAAAAAGUUUGCCACCCAGAUUUUUAAAAUGAAGUAAAACUAAUGUAGCUUAUGCUAUGAUGCAUAACUGCGAAUGAAAAAAAAAGAACUGGGGCACCUUCACUGUAGAAACAGUCUUCGAUUAGGUCAUUUUAGAUAUUGUAAUUGGCUUUAAUUAAACAUGUAUCGUUCUAAUUAACUCUGAAAUUUCAGCAACCUCUGGGACGCUGGUGUCAGCUUUGAUAUCGUCAGUCCAGAUGUCCUAAUACAAUCCAGUCUUCAAUUAAAAGUUUCAAUAUUCUAUAUCAAAACUUGAAAAGCUGAAACAGAUUUCGAAAUCACGUGAAAUAUGUGUACACUUUCCAGUGUACGCAGUUCUUAGAUUCCGUCGUGUAAAUAUGCGUGUUUGAGUGUCAUUGCGCAUCCAAAUGUAUACAAAUUGGAUAAUUAGAUUAAAAUGAAAUGAAAUUAUUAUUAUUAUUGUUAUUAUCAUUGUUAUUAUUAUUGUCAUUGUCAGUGUUGUCGUUAUUCAACCCUGCAGAAUUAUCUUGCGCCUUCCGCACUGGUCUGUGCACACAUCCUGCAUUUAUUUUUGUUGGAGGACUGUAAAACACGUGAAAAUGGUAAAUUAUGUCAAGGGCUCAGUUGCCAUAUAAUUAGCAUUUUCAUUCUGAUCCUAAAAUGAGGAGGGAGAAGCUGUGCGGUUUGGGGCGCCUUCAGCGUGGCCCGAGGCAAUACCGAUAUAAAGAAGGAGAAAAAACUGAAUAAAGAAACCGAGACCUAUUCUAGACAAUUAACAUGUAAAAUAUCCAGUGGAAAUCGAGUCUGAAAAUAAAUGUAGUUGGGUCAGCUCCACCUCACGUAGCCUAAGUGAUAAAUGAGGUCCACAGAUUAAAAAGUUUACCUCAAUUAAAGGUUUGAGGUUGGCUGCAGUUGUACGUGGGCAUCUUGAAGCGAAAGUGCGCGUUAUGUGCAAACCGGUAAUUUUUAGACUAACAUUUCACAAUCAUGUAGGCAUGAUAGGUUUUAUUUUUCCCGUGCUUAGAAUAAUAGCAUCAGAGUUAUGGAUUCAAAUGAUAAGAUCUGGAGCAUAGCAAUUGGGACAGAGAGGAAAACCAGAUUCCUCUCUACAGAUUCGUUGUAACCCUCAGUCACUUGCCCGUGGGUUAAGCCAUUGCCGGGUUCUCUGGCGUGAAACUCCAUUUUAUGGUACUAGUGCCCCACCUACCGGCAUCUGGAGUAAGACCUUUCUUGAAGAGAGCGAUAUAAGCUCUUUGAGGAAAUACUGGUCAAAAACAGGCAUAAGGAUUUACCGCGAGGAUUUACACGUGAAAAAAAAAUAUAUUUUUAAAGCACGCAUAUACUAAUCUCGGGUGAUUUACAACGUAGGCCAGCAAACGGUGCUAGACUGGUGAAGAACCUAUCUAUUCAUCAAUAUUACAUUUGAUUGCGAAGACCCCAAAUGAUUAUGAUUAUGAUGCAAAGCAUUGUCGGAUGGAACUUGUAGCCUUAACACGGUAAUUAACCAGGCUUAUUGCAAAUAAACUAUAACCUAAAUAUCUAUUUAAAUGCACACUAACUACUUAAGGCACUAGGUUCUUUGUCUGUAGCCUACACAAUUCCAAUUGGCGUUGCAGAUGGAAGAUCAUACAUGUGGGACUGGUCAGGCUCUGAGAGCAAGGGAUGAUAAUAUGAAGAUAUUAAUUUAACCAACUUUUCUGACAGGUCAUGACCAUGAUUAGAAUUAAAGGAAAUAACAAUCAGACUAUUAAAUAUAAUGUCUGGUAACUAGUCAACUUGUUUCCCAUAUUCAUUUGAAUGACAUCCGAUAUGGAAUAUGUCUAGAAGUUUUGAUUACACCAUUUUGCUCAUGUGCUAAGAGUGCACUCUCAUUAUUGCCUUAACUCUUUCUCCAUGUGUAAAUCACAUAUAUAUUUUUACUGUACAAAUAAAAUCUACAAUGAUAAAACUAUUUGAAAUACAUCAUGUUAUUCAUAUUAGUUUAAUAUGAGGCCUAUACCGUUUCUGAUGUGUGAGAUGCACUUUCCCAGGAACACAAUUGUUCAUCCUACCCGAAAGAGAAAAUGAAAAGCCAAUCUGAAAUGAUCACAUACCUUUAUUUGUUGUCCACCUUCAGCUAAAUUAAAUUUCGUAGCCUCCAGCCUUGUGCGAGGUCAAGAGGACAAAGGUUAGGCACAGAUAGUUUUGCAGGUGUUUCUGUCCCUGUGGUUUUGACGUUGGGUUUUGAAAACAAAAAUCACUUAGAGACUAGUAUUAUAUUGUCAAAAUGGCACAUAAUAGAGAGUUUAUCAGUGGAUUGACAACUAGGACUCUUCUCUCUUAUGACAGUUCAUUUAGGGGAAUUUACUUAAUUCUUUUUUGUCAGUUUAUUUUUUAGGCUACCAGUGAAUAAUUCACAAAAGUCAUAAUAAAUCAUUAGAAUCUCUGGAAAUGUAUGACAUUCUGUCAGACAGAUUUGCUCGCAUUGAAAGGUUUUCUCCAAAAAAUCUUCAUAACUUCAUAACAUUCGUUGGAGAAGGCAUAGGGGUGCUGACGGAGGGAGCACUGGGGCUGGGGGAAGAGUGGAGCCCAGCUAAGAGACCGCCCAUGGGCCUCACUCUCAUGCCCAUACCUGCAGUGGCAGCCCACCCAAGUAGGACAUGAAGCCCUGUAAAAAAACAUCAGUGAAGACUGAACCUUUUCACUGAGCAUUCGGUGGGACCAAAGACAGUGUUACUAAGACUUGGGUUGCUGACAUUGCAUUGCAUCGGGCAUCAAAUCCAAAACAGCCAGACUGCAGACUGUUGACAGGCUGCAGACUUUCAGAGCCUUGCCAUGACCUGAAUGUGAUCGUGCACUCAUAGACCAGCAAGGAAACUCAGCAGCGUGGGUAGAUGUUUUGUGGGAGUGGAGUACAAUGUUUUGUUCGAGUAAUUAUUGUGUUUGAGGAAAUAGCCACAUCCAAUAGCACACCAGCAUAUGAUGUAUUCAUUCCACUUUGUGCUUAGACAACUCAGGGGUUGAGAUUGUUGAAAAAAUGGUUUGUGGCGUCAGAGCCCGGAGAGCAUAGGGCGUCAGUAGUGGCAAGUCAUGCAGAUGUGUGAAGCUCCUUCAUUAUCAGAGGGGAGAGAGAGGGCUUUGCUGUGAAAACACCAAAAUAAUGGCAACUCGCUGUUGUUCACAGAAAUGGCAAAUGUCUUGAGAUAUUUGAAGGUGGCGGGGAGGUCGAAAAAGUGUAAACACAUUUUAAAUUUAUAGCAGUAGAUUCAUACAUGAGGGGUUAACACCAUCUAUUCGUCUUUUUCACUGUGUGUGUGUGUGUCAGUCUGUGUGUGUGUGUGUCUGUGGCAGUGUGUGUGUGUGUGUGUGUCUGUGACGGUGUGUGUGAUACUGCCAGUGGCAAGUUUUUGUGAAGAGCUGUGAUACUUGAUUGACAUAUGGUUCAGGUAUGAUACCCCAUUCAUCAAUGUGUUACUUUAAGGACGUGAUUAUUGUGAACAAAGCACAGUGACUUUCCUCAACCACACUAUAGCGUAGGGUGUUGGUGGGUUGCAUAAUAAACCACACAGAACGUAUUUUUCAUAAAAUUGUGGUGAUAUAAGGAGACUACAAUGGUAAUUGCUAAAUAAAUGUGUGUAUAUGUCUGGAAUUGAACUUAAGUUUCAGUCGAAGAAAUUAUUUCUUUACUUUUGUUGUUUGUUGACUUGACAAGAAAGGUUAAACACACAUUCAGUUGAUUUACAAGAUGGAGUUUGGAACCGGUUUUCAGGGGAAGUUGUAUCCAUGUAUUUCCACAAUAUAAUAAUAAAUUCUGUACUACGAAAAACUAUAAGGAAGUAGAGAUAUAAACAAACAACAAGCCUGGGGGAAAGCAGUCUAUGAACAGAAAAGGAAAUUGUCAAAUCUCUCAGAUGUUUUUUUUUUAUUUCUUGUAUUCAAAAGUAUAUGACAUAUAUAUUAUAUAUGACAUUCUAUAGUAAAACUUCAACAUCACUGAGCUAACUUAUUUUUGACUAAUCACUUAAUUCUAAAGAAGCACUAAUGUGCAAAAUGAGUGUUCAUCACACCCAUUGGCACCCUAUUUUCCUCUCUUGUGGAUGGUUUUCCUGGAGGUUCCUGUUUUGCAAUGUUAACAGUUUUGCAGACCCACAAUAAUUGCAAAGAAUGUUAACACAGCAAUUAUUUCUAAGGAAUCUGAACAUUUGCGCAAUUACAGCACUUGCAUUGAGUUAACACUUUUCUGUGUUUAUGCAGUCUUCAUUUAUAUUUCCUCCUAAUUAGCAAAAGCUCCAGUGAUGUGCUGAUUUGGAAUGGGUGCUCGAGGUAAAUAAAUGAAGCAUUACGAAAGGUUCAAGCCAGAUACAGUUAGUGGACCUGGAAGAAGCCUGUAAGCCUUUCAGAGUAUGCAAGUUAAGACGUUAACCUCUAUGAGAACAGGAUGCGUCUUAAUUCCCUUUACCUCUAUUCCUCUCCCUGAGGGAUGUGCUUUAGGUCCACAACAUCUUUGACAUGAAUUUGAUUUUAACCUUUCAGAUGGGUGCGUGGAUCAGCACGUUAAGAUUUCCAAAUUUACAACCGAGAGUCAAAAGACUCAAACAAGCAAAUGGCACUGCAAGCGAUGCUGAAAGCAUUACCAAUUCAUAUUCUUCUUAUCAUACAUUAUGGGCACUUGGAGAUGGGUGAAAACGUGGGCAUUAGCAGUCAUAUCUACCCUCCUCCACACUUUUGCUCCUCCUAAGAUGCUUCAUUCAGUUCAAAACUACCUGCUUUCUCUGACACGCUGCCUGACAUUAGCCGUCUUUGAGAGUCCUCUGCUUUCAUGUGUUUGGUAACACUAACAUUGCCUCCACCAUCGGCUGUGUCUGACUGCUGACUGGCAGGUCGACACAAGAAUGGCACUGCAUACCAUGUAUGUUGCAGAACUCUUCAGGGACUGCUUUGAGCACACAGACUGCUGGGAGCGCUGUCAAGACACGAGGCAUAAGGCACAAAGAAAAUGACCUUUGAGGCCAUUUCCCGACGCCUCAAUGCCUGGUUAUGCCUGGUUUCCCUAAGCUUCUGCCCUACUUGUGGGUCAUGGGAGAGUUCAGAUAGGCUCGUUAUGUGUUUAUGUCCUAUUAUUGACAAGUGAAUUUUUUAUUGUACAGUACUGUUUGCCUCAUGCUAUUCAAAACUGAUAAUAUUCUAAGCAUCUUUUGGCAACUGAUUUAAUCAAGAAUGAAAAUGUAUGCAAAUUGUCAUGUGAAAAUAAAAUAUUGUGCAAGUAAUGUGUCUUGUUUAUUGAUUAUCUUAGAUUGUUUCCUGAUUGUAGCAACUACUUCCAAUAACUCAGACGAUGAUAAUAAUAAUAAUAAUACAAAUGUUAAUGUGGGUUUAUUCCACAGUAAUUCCCUUAGUUGUUCAUUUUAAUUUGUAAUACCUGGAAAUUAAAUGGUCUUAAUAAGAUUGCAGAACCAAUGUCAACAGUAAAUCAAUUUGUUCCAAUGGGUUUGCAGUUCCCCUCAGUGUAUAGUCCUUACAAAUCAAGCAAAUUAAACAUGGAACAUAUGACUAUGUGCUUUUUUGUAAAUAAGCUAUUGAUUUUUUAUUAGGUUCUGUAGACUUCAGUGAAAUGUUAAGAUUUCAGAUGAAUUAGCUCACUUAAAAAGCAAUUUAUCCAAACUCAGAUCAAAUAUUCUGAUCGCAUAGUAGUAGUAGCAGUUGUAGUAUCACAAGUAGUGUAUGUGCUGUUGCUUUCUAAAGCAAACGAUUAAACAUGUUAAUGCUAGUUCCAUAUGACUGAGGAUUUUUGACUUACCUAGUUCCAAAAAUAUCUCCAAGGAUCUUAGUGGAAGAUUCUUCGUGUCAGCUGGAAAUCAUUGAAAAUACCAGAAAACACAUAUGAAGGACCACAUUCAUGAGAUAGCAUAUCUUCUGACUCAAAGGACAGACACCUUUAUCACGCUAUUAUUCAAACGUUUCCUCUCCAUCCACACGCACAAAAAGACAUCUACAAUGUUCAUAGUCUCCUGAGCCCAUUGUGUGAGCCGUACAUUCACAAAGGCUGGUGAAGCAUACAUCAAAGGCAACAACAAAUGGAGCUUGCAGAUAAGUCUUUUUGUGUUAUGAUUGUCCAUAAUACAAUGUCAUUACAAAGAGUGCAUGGAUAGGAUUUUUUUGCGCAGAGGUCAAUAUUUUAGCUUGUGUGUCCACCUGAUUUAUCCUAUACUGCUUUAGCUCAUUUUCAUUUAUACUUUCAUAUAUUAACAUCACUGUUGCACAGUAAAACACUGAUAUAUUUACUCCCUUUAAAAUCACAAACUGAAUUAGUAACAUUCUGCAACAGGAACAAAUCUGUAUCAUUAAAGAGAGCAUUAAAAAAUUGUGUCUUUGUGUUUGCCCUUUUGUUCUGCAUCUUUAGAGAUUUCUGUUACUAAAGGGACUCGAUUUUGUGGU
ensembl:lncRNA